rnacentral:tRNA from 1 species
AGUUUAUUAAAAUAUAGUCUAUUAGCUUUCAAGGUUAAAGGUGUUAUUAAUAUGAAUUU